CAGACAAUUGUAGCCACUCCCGAGCUACAGAUUUCACCAUUCAUACAGUGGUCCUCGAACAAAUGGACUUUGAUUGAGACUUUGGAUGCUGAGAUCAAACAUCUUACCAUCAGAUAACACUGAAAUCUAAAAAAAAAAUCCUCUGCAAAAACUGGGACCAGCAAGUACAACACUGCAGCUGUUCCUCGCUUUGUUCUGGAAGGCCUGGAUGUGGAUAAGAGAUGAGAGAGAUGCAGACCGGGCGGAAUAAAGAGAAGGAGAACCAAGGGAGGAAAUGAGGGUGUGAAAGAGGAGCGGACUGAUGAGAUUAUCAAGCAGAAUGGAGGAAUCUGUGUUGUUGACUCACUGCAUAAAUGACUGCUUAUUCGGGGCCGGGUUGCGGGGGCAACAGGCCAAGCAAAGCACCCCAGACGUCCCUCUCCCCAGCAACGCUUUCUAGCUCCUUCUGGAGGGCCUCCUGGUGUUCCCAGGCCAGAUGAGAUAUGUAAUCCCUCCAGCAUGAUCUGGAUCUGCCCUGGGGCCUCCUACCAGUAGGACGUGCCUGACCCACCUUCAGCGGGGAAGCCCAGGAGGCAUCCUGAUCAGAUGUCCGAACCACUUCAACUGACCCCUUUCAACACAAAGGAGCAGCGGCUCUACUCUGAGCUCCCUCCAGAUGUACGAGUUCCCCACCUGUUCUAAGGCUGAGCCCAGA